GAGGUGGGACAGUAGACACGCAGCCCGCCCCUCACCCCCCACCUGUGGGACCCCGGCGGGGGGGCUCCCAUCUGGACAACAGAGGCAAGGAUCAGCAGGGAUGAGAAGACCCACCUUGUCAGGGACCCACCCUGCCAAGCCCGGCCUCUCCUCCCCCCAGCACAGUCCGGCCCGACACCAAAUGCAGAACCAACCCCGCAGCAGGCCGUUCAGAGGACUGCUCACCCCUGAUCCCCUCCCUGGGCUCCUCCUGCAUGCUUCCUGUCUGUCUCCUCCACAUGGAGGAGGGCUGAGGUGUUUGUCUCCUGCUUACUGCGCCCAGCAUGACACCCACAGAGCAGGGACUCCAUACGUUCGCCCGCUGAGCAGCUGAAUGGUCACUCAAAUGGAAGGGAACGUGGGCUUCCAGAGUAAGCUUCAGGGGAGUCAGACUCCGAGGAGUGAGGUGGAGCAGACUCGGGGGCAAGAACCCAGCUCUGCCCAGAGACCCUUGCAAGGAAGUUGGUACCCGCUCAGUCAGGCGCAGUUGCCGGGUCGGUGAGCAGACCAACGGGACGGGCAGUUUGGGAAACGAGAGCUUCCCACGCCAGCUCCAGCCUGCCAAACCACAGCCCUCCUGUGGAGACUCCCGGACGAGAGGGGUCUGUAAAUGUAAAGUCUGGAGCCGGGACCAGCGCUCUGAGCCCGGCACCCACGGGGAGGCCCCCGGAAGGGCUGGGGCCGCGUAGGGGAGGACGCUGGUCUGCGAGCCCUUGGCCCAGGACGAG